GCUUGGCUUCUCCUUCCGCCUGCAUCAUCGCUUCUCUCUCCGUACUCUGCUGCUGCUGCUGCAUCCUCAUCAUCUUCUUUUUCUUGUCAUCGACCUCUUUUCCCGUCGAUAGGAAAUCUGCGAAAAUCGAGUCACAGGAGGAAGUUCUUCCUUCCGGCAGCAGCAGCUGUGCUGGAUGAGUCCCCUGUGUUCGACCCGUCGCCCGGUUCCAAGAGUCUCACGAUGUCAUCGCUCCCUUGAAGCUGAGAUUGCUCAUGAAGAUCAUCAUGAGCUAUGGUAAAUUUCCAUACUGGUUUUCCAACGGAUUGAUUUCCUUAGCAUAUAUUUUGAUAAUAUAGUGGAGCGUUAGUUUGGUACACCAUGGCCACUUCCACAACCAGAGGCCACUGAUAUAUUAGCUCAUAAAUUUGAACUUAUUGGAACUUCUAAAAUAAAAAUAACAUUCAUAAAAGCACUCGCAUCACUCAAGGAGACAGGGGAGCUGUGGGUGUUUGUCAUCUCAUGAAGCCAGCCAGCUAAUUUCACCUGAAAGUCAAUGUAAAUUGUUGUUAUACAACAUACACUAUGCUGUUGUGAUAUUGAGGUAUGCAAUAGCAAAAAACAUUUGAGGUAUACAGUAGCUGUCCAAGCUUACUUUGAGGUGCAAAUUAAAACCUUGUUGCUGCUUCCUUAGUCCUAGAGGAAAAAAUGAACUUGCUUUGUAUCUGCAAGCACACUUUCCAGUCAGAGUGGUUGUGCAACGCCAUCCAAUUGUUGAUAUAAAAAAAUGCAAACCUCCAAGAUCUUUUUCUUAUCACAGAAGACUCAGAACAGAGAUAAUUGAAGCCUUGGAAAAGAUUAAGAAGAGUUUGACUUUCCAAAAACUAGGUUGGAAAUUGAAGCUCGUAUAUCAUUUGAAGGUGGGGCUCAAUCUCUUAAGAAAGAUCUUGACUUUCUCUAUAGAUUGACUACUACUCUUAUAUACUAGAUUGGUACAGAAAAGUACGAGCACCAAAGCCCAUGGAGAAUGAACCAAACAACAAGAGGCUACUACUCUUACCUUCUUUUAUUAAUUUUUCUCUUAUUUAGGUGAGAACAUGUAAAUGGCAAUAUUUUAGGGGACAAUCUCAAAAGAUGACACUGUAAUUCUUGAUGGAGCUGGUGACAAAAAGGCUAUUGAAGAGAGAUGUGAGCAGAUAUGAUCUGCAAUUGAAGUAAGCACAUCCGACUACAACAAAGAGAAGCUGCAAGAGGUGUUGUCAAAACUUUCUGGUGGUGUUGCUGUGCUCGAGGUAUGUACAUUUCUUCAUGCUUAGAUCAUAGUUUAGAUUCCUUACAUUAUGCUGUUUAUCAUGUACUUUGCUUAACACAAGCAGAUGAAACGAAAGUAAUCAGAACAUAUUGGGUCAUUUACACUAUCACCUCAUUCUCAGUGUCUUAAUAUAGUCAAGUCAAUUAUUGGUUUUAACAUAUUUAUUCUAUGAACUAUCAUAUUUUCCUAUGGUGAUAUGUAUUUUUUGUGUUAGCGGCGUGCUGUGUGUACAACUAUCACUAGUAGUUCAUUGGAGGAGCAUUUUUAUCUUUUUUUCUAUAAAAUGCACCAAAGUGUAUAAUUUAAUACAUGCAUCAUGGCUUUUUUCUUAUACAGCAUCCUUGCUUUUUUGGUUGGAUAAAAGUACUCUUAAUUACACUUGCCUUUUCCUCAUUUUCCUUAUGUUUUGAAACCCAUUCAAUUUAACCAACCAAUUCAAUUGAGUCAGUUUAAUUAACCCAAAACUUAGAUCUCCAAUUUAUAUAAAAAUAAAUAUUAAUGAUAUAUAAUGAUUUAUAUUAACAAGAAAAUAAUUAUAUAAAAUUGAUCUUAGAGUUCAAAUAAUAUAUUAUGAAAAUGAGAAAAUUAUGAAAAUAAUUUUCAUAAUUCGGGUUGGGUGGAGAAGAAGUACGUCGACCCCCUGAAGCACUGACUAUAGUAGGCUAGCAGGAGGGUCAUCAUCGAGGGAAUGUGGAGUCAUCUAAACUCCCCAAUAAAUGCCAUAAGAAACUAAGAAAGCGCCACAAAUUUGGCUUCAUUUGGGCAUGUGAGAACUUUCAGAAAUUGAAAGUCUCAAUAAAAAAUGGGUGGAGGGGAGAGCGAAACCCCACGUCCAGUGCAUCCUGCAUAGGAUUAGUUACCCGACUAAGCAGACACUAGCUCGUGCUCGGUUGGUAUGUGAUAGACCUCCUGGAGUGCCUCCAGGUCGGAGGUCAACAUUAUGGAGUCCGAGUCAAAGGACUCCACCAUAGGUGGCGGAGCUGCUUUGCAGGGUGGAUUCACCUCCAAAUGGGCAACCUCCACUAGUGCGAUCAACUUGGCUCCCUCAGAAGAUGAAAUUCCCGUCGUCGACACCGAGGGUGGUGAUGGAAUCAAUGACCUAUCUGAGUUCGAGGUGCUUGAGGAGAAGGUUGAGGAUGACAACAUCGUGGACCUUUAGUCGUUGAAUGGUCGAGGCCGAAGUUAUUGUCCAAGGAUGUAUGAGUUGCAGGCAGGUGUAAGGAGCAAGUUUUGCAAUAAACUACUAUUUAUUAAGGUCAAGAGCGGCUAUUACACUACUUAGUCGCUUGUUUGACUUCUGAACACCUUGAAGAAAGGGGGACAUGCGGCAGAAUUCAAGACACCUCUAGACAAGUGGCAUGAUCUGAGCGGCUCAAGGGUCAAUCGGAUCAUCAGAGGCCAUUGCUAAUUGUUGCAGAAGACAUAGAAAGUGAUGCACUGAUGACUCUAAUUCUUAAUAAGCUUUGUUCCGGGAUUAGGGUCAUUUUUUGUUUAGUUUUAUGUAUAUAUUUAUUGUUUAUUUUGGAUUUAUGAAUUUUGGUUAUUCUUAAACACUCUAAGGAAUAGUGAUCACACUGGUUUGUGUUGUGAAGGCCCCUGGUUUUGGGGUGAACAGGAAGGCUAGUUUGCAAGAUCUUGCUACUCUCACUGGUGGAUCUGUGAGGAUCUUUUCUUAUUCAAUAUUGUUGUGUUUUGAUGGUUUGUAAAUGGUAUUGCCAGAAUAAUUGUUUCAUUGUUUACUUAGGUUAUAACAGGAGACCUUGGUAUGAACAUUGGGAAAGUUGAGUUCAACAAGCUUGGCACAUGCAAAAAGGUCAGAUUGUGUUCUUAUACCCUCUAUAGCCCUUUGUUACUAGUGUCUGUCAAUCCUUGCUCUCAUUUCUUUAUACCUGUUUCCAGAUCUAGAAGAAGGAUUCGAGCUCAUAAUUAAUUGAGGUGUCUAAGGGGUCUCAUUUUCUUGUAGUUUCCAAUCUGUGUUGGCUGCUUUACAAUUUUAUCUCGAUAUUCUGGUUCUGUUAUUUAGUUAAAAACCUCCAUUUACAUAAUUUGCAUUAAUUUUUUUACUGCAAUCAGUAUCAAUUGAUUUGAUUUAAGAUUAUCAUAUUAGAGAAACUAUUAUGCUCUUUACUUAGUUUUGCACCAACAUUGAUCUUGUAAGUGAUAAUAUUUUAGGUGUCAAUCUUAAAAGAUGCCACUGUAAUUCUUGAUGGAGCCUGUGACAAAAAGGCUACUGAAGAGAGAUGUGAGCAGAUUGGAAUUAGACUUGGCUGGAGUAGAAACUAUGUCGUGCUUCGAUGCUUCGGGGUGUGGAAGAUGUUGCUGAUGCAGUGAAAGUGACCAUUGGCCUGAAGUGACAUCGCGCCGGUUCCCUAUUCCUUGCUGUUCGAGGCUAAGCUGGACUCCAGAGCAAAACCAUCCAACAGUUGCUUAUCUUCCGAGCUUCUGGAUGAUCGCUUCGUCCUUCACUGCCAUCACUGGACUGCCUACCUCUGCUACCUCUCAUCCAUGAAUACCAUGAACCUGAUGCUUCUGUUUCUUCGGCUAUGCUUUCCUGGAAAUGGGUAGUACUGGAGAGUGGGGUCGAAAAUUCAUCAGAUCAUUGCAGCUCUUCAAAUUUUGUGAAGGUGACGAGGACCGGAAUAGUAGGAGCGAUGGGAAUGGCCAACUGAAAUUGAUGGCAGAGAAAUCUAUAGUUUAAUGCUUGAGAAAGUUGAAGCAGCCUAAGCCCAGUGUUGAAUCAUGAGAAUUUGCUAUUUUAAUCCUGAGUUAUAUCUUAGAUGCAGCAAUUGGAACAUAGAAACCAAAUGUUAUAAAUCAAUAGAAAGUACUUCUUUCCAUUAUGUGAUCAUGAGAGAAUUGUAUAUACUGUAACACUUUUUUUAGUUUUAUAUCGGACAGAAUUAAGAUUAACUUACAAGGA